rnacentral:rRNA from 1 species
UAAAUUUCUAUCCGCAGAAGAGAUAGUCGCUGCACCUGUAUGAAAACCCCGGUCUAUAUGUGUCCCCACAGCCGGUGUAAUAUGUAGGGCAAGAGUUUUCUCCAGAUUCAUUGGGUAUAAAGCGCGUAUGAGGCGACCCCACAUCCCAAGUGUAGAAGCGGGGGUCUCAUCCCCCCGAAGCCCCCGGAACCUCCGCGGCUAGGGUCGGGUAGGGGAGGGUAGUUCACCCGGUGUAGCGGUAGAAUGUGCAUAUAUGGGGUAGCACCCCGGUGGAGAAGGCGUCCCUGUGGGCCGAGACUGACGCUGAGGCGCUAAAGUUGGGGGAGCGAACAGGAUUAGAUACCGUGGUAGUCCCAGCCGUAAACGAUGGACGCUAGGUGUGGGGGGACGAUCCCCCCGUGCCGCAGCCAACGCAUUAAGCGUCCCGCCUGGGGAGUACGGCCGCAAGGCUAAAACUCAAAGGAAUUGUCGGGGGCCCGCACAAGCAGCGGAGCAUGUGGCUUAAUUGGAAGCAACGCGAAGAACCUUAUCAGGGCUUGACAUAUGGGUGAAGCGGGGGAGACCCCGUGGCCGAGAGGAGCCCAUACAGGUGGUGCAUGGCUGUCGUCAGCUCGUGUCGUGAGAUGUUGGGUUAAGUCCUGCAACGAGCGCAACCCCCGUCGUGUGUUGCCAUCGGGUGAUGCUGGGAACCCACGCGGGACCGCCGCGGUCAAGGCGGAGGAGGGCGGGGAUGACGUCAAGUCAUCAUGCCCCUUAUGCUCUGGGCUGCACACGUGCUACAAUGGCCGGUACAGAGGGAUGCCACCCCGUGAGGGGGAGCGGAUCCCGGAAAGCCGGCCCCAGUUCGGAUUGGGGUCUGCAACCCGCCCCCAUGAAGUCGGAGUUGUUAGUAAUCGCGGAUCAGCAUGCCGCGGUGAAUGCGUUCCCGGCCCUUGCACUCACCGCCCGUCA